AUAGCGCGAUUUGUGUGAACUUGAGGGGCGGUUUGGUCUUGUGCCAUUCAGUUGUAGUGGCUUUGCUGGAAAUUGCUCAAAAUUUGUUGCUAUCCAUGUGGAGUUGUUGUGGGCGGUGGGUUCAGUGGUAGUGCCUUUGCUAGAAAUUGCUGGAAAUUUGUUGCUAUCCACGUGGAGUUGUUGUGGGCGGUGAGUUCACUUUUAUCAGCUGUCUGCAUGGCCUUCGCUUCGCUGGUGUCCGCAUGGUGGCUUUGUUUCCAUCCGUUCCAUUCUGCUCGUACCCCGCGUGUUGUCCUCGCAUAGGGACACGCUUAGCGGUGGAUUAUGAUACGGUACAAGAACCGUUGCUAGAAAGCUUGGCAGUUUCCACUGCCCUCUCAUUCUUUUCUUAGCUUUCUUUGCCAGUUGCUUUUUUUUCCUUCGUCUCUUCCUACUGAAUUGUCUCCUACACCACGUCUUUCUUCAUAGUUGAACCUAAGUGUUCUGGAAAGAGUGCAAGAACCGCUGCGCGAAGGCUUUGCAAUCUCCAUUACUGUGUCUCAUUUGUUUCUUAGUCUGUGCAAAACUAGAUCUUCGAUUUUCCUAUGAUCGGCGGAGUUUGGAGUGCCAACCUCGACAGUUUUGUUGCUUUUAGCCAGAUUUUGAAUUCGGUGUGUUAAGCAUGGUGCCAUGAAACAAUAAUUGGAAUAAGGCUGGUGGAGCAUCUGUUCCUUUUUGGUGUCUUACUCCCUUGCCCUACUGAACACAGGAGUAACGGACAAGAGGCCUAUCCUAUUUAGAGGAUAAAGUUUGUGAUUCAAAAAAAAACCAGACCAGUUGUUAGAGCGGGGUAGGAUAGGCAAUUAACAUGAUUGGUCCCGUUUCAGUUUAAGUUGUUGGAUGUGAGUACGUCGGAUAAGCGAAAGCAAGCAGGAAAUUUAUAUGCUGUACUUUGGCUUCUUUUCUUUCAAUAUUUAUGGAGCCUGCGCAUUGGAUUUGGGACCUUUGGGUUAACUAAUGCAGCAGGUUAUUGUUUUUUAAGUGCUAAAAUUAUGAAGACGCCACUACUGUUAUCUCAAAGAUUUCAUCUCCAAGAAUCAUUGAUGCACAUCACUAAAAACGCAUACAAGUUUUCUAACUCCAUCCCAUUACAAGCAAACAAGAAAUAGAGAAGAAGGGGAAAGUAAUAGCAAAGCCACAAAAAAGGGAGUCCGAGGAGCACGGAGGAGUCAUUGCCUGCUGACCGGAAUCCACCACAGCCACUGCCAUCGCCAUUGUCGUUGAAUUUCUUCACCAAAAGAGCAUUGUGAACUUUCGAUGGUUUUGAAAGGUGAACUUUUCACUCUACUUCUAUUAGCUUAUCGGUUUUGAGUUUAUCAAUUUGCUGAUCAUAAUUGAAGGUCGCAUUGAUGUGAUUUGUUUGUUGUGCUGAUGUCUUUUGUUUUAUGAUUAAGGGCUGUAUUUUUAGACAGGUCAUUCAAACUUAUUUGACGUGCACACCAUAUAUUCGCUAUAUGUCCUCAUUUAACAUCUACAAUCAUUGUGUGUUAGUUUUUCUCUGUUUCAGAAAAUUGUAUGAUGUUUUGGAUUGGUUUAAUGUAAUUUCAUCAAUGCAUGUUUCGAUUGUGAUAUGGUAUUUGCUUGUUCUUUUGUUUUUUGUAAUUUGUUAUGAUAUUAUGGUUCCCUUCCUGUGUUUACAUAGUACAUUAUAUGGUUCACGUAAAUUUGAAUAUUGCAGAGCCAAAAAACUGGUGUCAUUGUCAACGGUUAUGAAUAAAGAAAAUAAGUAAGAGACUUUCGAUGCUUAAUACCCAAGCCAAUGAAAAUGUCCACUUGGAUAGAAACCAAGUAGUUCUUGAUUUGUGAUUAGUACAUGAAUUGGCAACCAAACCCAUGAGCAUUUUGUUUAACCACUUCGAAAUAUUCAUUUGGUUUUAGAUUCUGUUGAAGAUAAAAUACCUUUCAAAUCUUUUGUAACAAAUUGGCAAACUAUUGCAAAAUUGACGUAGCCAGAUGUAGAUUUUUAUAUUGAGCAACAACUUCUUUGAUAUCAAAACUGGUGGAGCAUUAAUUUGUCAUUUUUUUAACAACUCAUUUAUAAUGUAUUGGAGCAAUUGAUUUUUCUUCUCGUAAACAACACCUAACAGGUUUUGCAGUUCCUAUAACCUUCUCUUAUUAUAAUAUCUGUAUAGUUUAAUCCAUUAUAAACUAAUAAGUUUCCAAAAAGAACCAGAAAAGCUAUAGAACAGAAAGGAAUAUAUGGAAGGCCAAUUGGAUGCUAUUUUUCUCUUUUUCUUUCUUUAAUUUUCCUUGUGUAAGACAUGGCCAGGCAUUUCAUACUUUCUGUUUCACUUUGUGUUUGUGUGUGUGUAUGUGUGUUUUAUCUUUUUCCUAUUUUACUUUGUGGGUCUAGCUAAUGUAGUUUGUAAUCUAGCCUAUGAAUAUAUCCAAUUCAUUUUCUAUAUUUGAGAUUUAAAACAUUAGAAAUUACGCAGGAAACUAAUCAAAUUAAAAGGUGUUGAACAUCAAAUUUGCAAGUUCAAUUUUUUUUGAAUGAGUUUAAUUAGGUUGUCAAGAGACAAACUAUUAUAAACUAAUUACAUUAAGGUAUUUGUAUUCCAGAGGCAUUACAACUAACUUUUCUAUCCAAAACCAAGUAACAAGAAAAAUAUAGGUGAUUUUCUAAACAUAUUGAGAGGUUAUUACAGUUGGUCUAGGUGUCAUUCCUAACUUCAAUAAAUGAAUGGUGGUCUAACAAUAUGAACUUGUUAGCCCUGAAUUUAUGCAAUGUAAAGCUAAGAAAAGAUGAUGUGUUUUUUUUUUUUGACAAUUAGCUAUACUUUUUUUUUUUUUGAGUCUGAGCAAGCUUAGACUGUUGAAAUAUGCCAUGGUAGUGAAAUUAGUUCCAAAGAUUCUUUGAUGUUAAAUUCAGGCCACUUCAGAAGAGCGUUCAGCAUGAUUGAUGGGUUAAAUGUAUAAUUUUUGGUUCUCUUUUUUUUCCAGGAAAGGAAGUCAGUUUUUGUCCCAAGUCACUUAUGAAAUUUCACGCAAGUAGCUAACUCUUGAAUUUAAAACAAUUGGAUUUCCCCACUUUUGCAUGAUUUCUUUUUCCCUUGCAUAUUUUGUCUCUUCAAACCAAAUUAACAAAAAAAAAAAAGAGAAAAAAAUGAGAGGCAGGGUCUUGUUCGAGGAAUAGGGAUGAGCUAUUGUUGCCGAGCAGAGUUCGCCACCACUAUUGUGGUGGCAAAAUUUCUUCAUCGGAAAAGCACGGUGAAGUUUCUUCAUUUUUUGGGUUUUCUGAUCUUGUUCUCCAAUUAAUUGGGUAUCCAUGAAACAAACACAGAACACACUCUCAUCUCAGGAGCAACUUAAACGAUUGAAGAACUCAUUCUCAUUUCAGACAUUUCAUUCUCUAGAAUCAUUAACCAUGGAAAAUGAUGGAUAUUGUGAAUGGAUGAAAAGUUGAAUUCAAUCAAAUACAGUUGCGAUUGUCACCUCUUGGUUAUAAAUGUUCCAUAACAGCUAAUUUCUGCUCUGUUUACUCUUUGUAGUAUUUUUCUCCAUCCUAAUUAGUGCCCAAAACCUAUUUGUAAAAUGCCUUAAAGCCAGAUUUAGCUUUCUGAAUUUAAUUAAGAUAAAAUGUUGCAUGCUUAUACUAGGUGUUCUAAGGAUUGCAGAUAGAGACAGCUUAUUUGUUUUAAACCAAGUUUACCACGUUUAGAACCAAGAUAGAGAGAACUCAUAUUGGAGGGAACUUAUUUGUUUUCAGUCAAGUUUACCAUCAUUAACAUAUUUUUGUAGCCUUGGACAAGUUGGAACAUUUACUGUCUUUAGAGUCUAAAGCAAUACAAUCAUAGUUAGAAAAUGCAUCUCCUCAUGCCAAUGUAUGACUUGGGAAUUAGGAUGAUGAUGGUAUUGAAUAGGGCUGGUCACUUCUUGGUUAUAAAUGUUCCGUAGCAGCUAAUUUCUGCUCUGUGUUCAUAUUUCAUUCUGUUUUUUAUUUUUUAAGUUCUGUUUUCUUACUCACCUUUGUUUGGUGAUUUGAUGUUUUGAUUUCAGAUUUCCAAGUUAGCAAAGGGUAAUAAGAUCUCCUGUUUUAUUCCGGUGAUUUGAGUUUCAGAUGAUUCUCUAUUUAUGUGGUGCAUGCUUUGAUUUGUGUUCUUUACGUGAACUUUUGCCUCCAUUUAUGUGGACCAUUGUCUCAGGGCCAACUUCUUCUUCCAAUUGAAAGCUUCCAUUUCCUAAUUUUGCAAGUUGAGCUUUUCUAAAUGAGUCGCCGUUGAAAAUAUGCAAGCUUAGAAGAAUCGUAUGAAGAAAGGAUUAGAAAGAGACGUGAGCAACGUGCCAGUCCGAGUGCUAAGCAUGACUGUGGUAGAUAUCAAGGUGUACGUAUUAUGGCUAUAAGUGCAUUUAACAUAUGCGAAUCUAGCAUGACGAGGACAACAGGUGAUAUCAAUUCAUAUAUCAGCCACCCUGGUGUAUUGAGUAUGACUUAAUAAACCAGGAAAAGGAUUCUCUCACAUCAUAAUUAUUAAGUAUGCAAGUGUUUUAUACUAAA